UACGGAGGGUGCAAGCGUUUAUCCGGAUUUACUGGGUUUAAAGGGUGUGUAGGCGGAUCUUUAAGUCAGUGGUGAAAUCUCCGAGCUUAACUUGGAACUGCCGUUGAUACUAUAGAUCUUGAAUGCUGUGGAGGUGAGCGGAAUAUGUCAUGUAGCGGUGAAAUGCUUAGAUAUGACAUAGAACACCAAUUGCGAAGGCAGCUCACUACCCAGAUAUUGACACUGAGGCACGAAAGCGUGGGGAUCAAACAGG
rnacentral:rRNA from 1 species